rnacentral:rRNA from 1 species
UACGUAGGGAGCAAGCGUUGUCCGGAAUCAUUGGGCGUAAAGCGCGCGUAGGUGGCUUCGUAAGUCCGUUGUGAAAGUCAAAGGCUCAACCUUUGAAAGCCGAUGGAUACUGUGGAGCUAGAGUACGGAAGAGGCGAGUGGAAUUCCUGGUGUAGCGGUGGAAUGCGCAGAUAUCGGGAGGAACACCAGUGGCGAAGGCGGUUGCCUGGGGCUUUGCUGACGCUGAUGCGCGAAAGCGUGGGGAAGCGAUCCGGCGUUAAUAGACCCCAGUACGUCUAAGACCCAAGGAUCAUCCUUGCCUGCCGUA